UACGUAGGGGGCAAGCGUUGCCCGGAAUUAUUGGGCGUAAAGCGCGCGCAGGCGGUUCUUUAAGUCUGGUGGCUAAGUGCGGGGCUCAACCCCGUGAUGCACUGGAAACUGGGGAACUUGAGUGCAGAAGAGGAGAGCGGAAUUCCUGGUGUAGCGGUGAAAUGCGCAGAUAUCAGGAGGAACACCAGCGGCGAAGGCGGCGCUCUGGGCCGGUACUGACACUGAGGAGCGAAAGCGUGGGUAGCAAACAGG
rnacentral:rRNA from 1 species